GUGUCAAUUUAAUUGGGGCACAGUGCCCAGAUUCUGGUCAGAUAUUAUUCUGGAUGUUUCUGUGUGGGUAUUUCUGGAUGAGACUGGCAUUUAAAUUAAUAAAUUUUGAGUAAAGUAUAUUGUCCUUUAUAAUGUGCCUUCCAAGCAGUUGAAGGCCUGUAUAGAACAAAAGACUGACUUGCACCAAUCAGGAAAGAAUUCUACCAGGAGACUGCCUUUGGACUUAAAUUACAACACUGGCUCUUCCCUGAGUCUCCGGCCUAUUGGCUCUCCCUGCAGAUUUUGGAUUUGCCAGCCUUCAUAAGUUGGCUUUAAUCUGGUAAAUCAAAGUAUGGACAUCUGCAUAUAUGUGAAUAUUUUCCAUAACCUUGAGAAAAAUGAUCUAUGACCUGAGGUUUUUCAAGAACAAUUAACUAGCCGCAAGGAUAAUGGAGAAAAUGAAAGUCAACAACUUGUUUUCAUUGAGUACCUGGACGUUUCAGAACGAGACUUAGGUGCAUUUAAAUUCAGUGACAAAGGCAUAAUUUAUAAAUCCUCCUUGAGAAAUAUUCUUAGAGGAAUAACUCAACCAGGGGCUAAAGAAUAAAGGAGAAAAAACAAACAGUAUGUAUUCACUACUUUACUCUUCACACUUCCCAAUUUCAUUAGUCAGGUAGAAUUUACAACCCCAUUGAUUGAUAUGCUAUGA